rnacentral:rRNA from 1 species
GACGAACGCUGGCGGCGUGCUUAACACAUGCAAGUCGAACGGAAAGGCCCUGCUUUUGUGGGGUGCUCGAGUGGCGAACGGGUGAGUAACACGUGAGUAACCUGCCCUUGACUUUGGGAUAACUUCAGGAAACUUGGGCUAAUACCGGAUAGGAGCUCCUGCUGCAUGGUGGGGGUUGGAAAGUUUCGGCGGUUGGGGAUGGACUCGCGGCUUAUCAGCUUGUUGGUGGGGUAGUGGCUUACCAAGGCUUUGACGGGUAGCCGGCCUGAGAGGGUGACCGGCCACAUGGGGACUGAGAUACGGCCCAGACUCCUACGGGAGGCAGCAGGGGGGAAUAUGGCACAAUGGGCGGAAGCCUGAUGCAGCAACGCCGCGGGCGGGAUGACGGCCUUCGGGUUGUAAACCGCUUUCGCCUGUGACGAAGCGUGAGUGACGGUAAUGGGUAAAGAAGCACCGGCUAACUACGUG